CCUACGGGUGGCAGCAGUGGGGAAUAUUCCGCAAUGGGCGAAAGCCUGACGCAGCGACGCCGCGUGAGGGAUGAAGGUCUUCGGAUCGUAAACCUCUGUCAGCAGAGAAGAACGGUUACUGUGCUAAUCAGCAGUGAAUUGACGGUACCUGCAAAGAAAGCAACGGCUAACUCCGUGCCAGCAGCCGCGGUAAUACGGAGGGGGCGAGCGUUAAUCGGAAUUAUUGGGCGUAAAGCGCACGUAGGCGGUAUGUCAAGUCAAGGGUGAAAUCCCCGCGCUCAACGUGGGAGCUGCAUUUGAAACUGGGAAACUGGAGUGUGUGAGAGGAUAGUGGAAGUCCAGGUGGAGGAGUGAAAUCCGGAGAUAUCUGGAGGAACAUCAGUGGCGAAGGCGACUAUCUGGCACAUAACUGACGCUGAGGAGCGAAAGCGUGGGUAGCAAACAGGAUUAGAUACCCGAGUAGUC
rnacentral:rRNA from 1 species